GUUUUCGUAGUUGAACUACAACAACAGUUUUUCAGGCUGUUAGUCUGGGUUAAACCCCCAGCGGAAAUAA
rnacentral:tRNA from 1 species